GAUGAAGAACGUAGCGAAAUGCGUUAAGUAAUGUGAAUUGCAGAAUUCAGUGAAUCAUCGAAUCUUUGAACGCACAUUGCGCCCGCCAGUAUUCUGGCGGGCAUGCCUGUUCGAGCGUCAUUUCAACCCUCAGGCCCCGCCUGGCGUUGGGGAUCGGCGCGGCCCUCUCCGGGCUGCCGGCCCCGAAAACUAGUGGCGGUCUCGCUGUAGUCCUCCUCUGCGCAGUAGCAACGCUCGCACUGGAACUCGGCGCGGCCACGCCGUAAAACACCCCACUUCUGAAAGUUGACCUCGGAUCAGGUAGGAAUACCCGCUGAACUUAAGCAUAUCAAUAAGCGGAGGA
rnacentral:misc_RNA from 1 species